GUGGCAAAGAAGAAGUUGAGCAUCAUGGUGACAAACCUCUGUUGUUGUGGAGAAGCUCCUGCUGUGCAACUUUCACAGUCCUUUGUUUGAGGAACUUCUAUUCCCUUUUCAUUCAAAGGACUUUUUGGUGCCUAUUUGUGAACUGCUGGUGGCAAGAGAGGCAUGUGACACCUGAGAAGAUUCAAUAUGCGUGUGAUGUGAUGGACGUUCUACUGUGGGAUUAACUCAUUAUCAUCCAGCUUCCACUCAUCUCUGUUUCUCCAAAAAAGGACUGGUUUGACUUUUUUAUAAUACUUUGGGACUCUUGAGGAGGCCACAGGCCCAAAUGGACUCAAAUUGAUUCUUUUUUUCUCUUUUUGUAUUUGUGGGUGGUGGGUUGAGGAUUAAAUUGCUUGUGUCUGUGUAGAGGUGGGAUUUGUAUUCCAUAUUAGCCUGUUCAUCUUUACAAUAACACCAGAAAAGUACUGAGGCACUGGGGUUCAAAGGACCAUGGUCAGGUGGAAGCAGUUGUUGGACCAUGAAGUACUUCUGAUGAAAAGCCUGCAUAUCAGCUGACUGCAGUGGUUGCUUUGUCUUUGUUUGCUGGACAGUUUCGAUGUCUCAGUAAGCUUGUGAAGAUCGCAAGGCUCCUCAUUUCCCACCGCAUGUGUAACAUGUAUGAUACUUUAGAAUACGAGUUGGAUGGUCAACAUGUCAAUGAAGACAAUCUCUGUCACUGAUCCGCUGGGAAACGAGGAAUUGCAUGAGAGAAAAAUUCUGCGGAACUGGAGAUGGUGGGAUACAAAGACUACUGUGCUGAAUGGCAAAUAAAAGCAAUGCAGCACAACCCACAGCAAGAUUCUAGCAGCUGUGGAGUGUUAGUACUGAAGGAGAGAUUGGCAACAUGCAGACAACAAAAGCAGCUGUUAGCACUGCACAAAUGGAGCCUGUUCACUGCUUGAAUGUAAAGGCAAUACAGAGGACUACUGCAUAGUUUGCUGUAUGCUGGAAGUGGAUGCUGACAAGAGCUUGAUUGAAAUGGUGCAGUGUGAUGAGUGCAACCGCUGGGCACAUUUUUAGUGUGCCCAGUAUGAUAAUGAAAAAGACACCAGUUACCAGUGCUAAACAAAUGAACCUCAAUUUGUUUUUAUUUUCUUUGUUGUGCACUUUACAGUUGGUGUCAAGGACUUGAAAGUUUACUUCAUUGUAUGUCAUUUGCUGUGUGCAUUGUUUUUAAAGAACAGAUUAAAAAAACUGACUAAAUAAGCAGUAUUUUUUUCCUAAAAACAUGGUGUCUCUCUGAUUAACAUUUACAAUAUUAUGUUCAAUUAAAAACAAAGUUUGAACAGGUUAGUCCAAGCUGUGUCAGGUUAGACAUUCUUUUAGCAUAUAGUAACAGUAACCAGGUAUGUAAGGGAAAAAAAGACAUUUCUCCAAAAUUAAUAACAGCUAGUCUCCAUUGCAAUUAAAGCAGUAGUGAAGCACAUAAAAGGCACACCGGAUUCAGACUGAACUCCAAUCAUCUGCUGGAUGUAUUGUUUCAUGAGGUGAUUUAGGCUAUCAAAUUAUCAUACCAAUGGUUUUAGUGCUGAGAGUAUCAUUUUCUGAGGUGAUUUAGGCCAUUAAAUUAUCCUACCUAUAGUUUUAAUGCAAGGCGUAUCAUUGUAUGAGGUUAUUUAGGCUAUCAAAUUAUGCUACCAAUGUGUUUAAUGCUGGGAGUAUCAUUGUAUGAGGAAAUUUAGGCUAUCGAAUUAUGCUACCAAUGGUUUUAAUGCUGGGAGUAUUGUUUUAUGAGGUCAUUUAGGCUAUCAAAUUAUCCUACCUACGGUUUUAAUGCUGAGAGUGUUGUUUUAUGAGGAGAUUUAGGCUAUCAAAUUACCCUGCCAAUGGUUUUAAUGCUGGGAGUAUUGUUUUAUGAGAUUUAUGCUCUCAAAUUAUCCUACCUAUGGUUUUAAUGCUGGGAGUAUCAUUUUAUGAGGUCAUUUAGGCUAUCAUAUUAUCCUACCUAUGGUUUUACUACUGAGAGUGUUGUUUUAUGAGGAGAUUUAUGCUCUCAAAUUAUCCUACCUAUGGUUUUAAUGCUGGGAGUAUCAUUUUAUGAGGAGAUUUAGGCUAUUGAAUUAUGCUACCAAUGGUUUUAAUGCUGGGAGUAAUGUUUUAUGAGGUCAUUUAGGUUAUCAUAUUAUCCUACCUAUGGUUUUACUGCUGGGAGUGUUGUUUUAUAAUGAGGUUUAGGCUAUCAAAUUAUCCUACCUACGGUUUUAAUGCUGAGAGUGUUGUUUUAUGAGGAGAUUUAGGCUCUCAAAUUAUCCUACCUAUGGUUUUAAUGCUGGGAGUAUCAUUAUAUGAGGAGAUUUAGGCUAUCGAAUUAUGCUACCAAUGGUUUUAAUGCUGGGAGUACCAUUUUAUGAGGUCAUUUAGGCUAUCAAAUUAUCCUGCCUAUAGUAAUAUAACACCUGAAUGCAAAGUCCCUUUCCUCCUUGAUACAAACAGCAACCAGUUUGGGGAAGAAACCUACUGUGUUUUAGGCUUACAUGUCUCCUCAAUUUCCUGUAAAGUUAGAUCCUAUGUCCAUCUGGCCAGACGUGUUCAAAAUGCUGCUUAUCCUACAUUUCAUCAGCAUCUGCAUGGGGAUGUGCAGGAUGAUCUUGCAGAACCCAGUGACAUGAGCAAAAUGCAAAACUGCCUAGCGUACUGCUAACAGGUGCCAAACGCAGGCAUCGUAGGCCUGCUCCACAAUAGACGUGACCUGUGAUGCGUAUGCCAAAGGUCACAGCACUCCACUGCUGCAACUCCACUGCUGCUGUUACUUUGCAGUAACACCGCAGAAAGGGCAUUAUCUGAGGCUACUGUCUCCAGAAUGAACGACAGAUCACGGAGCUGCCUUGAGUGGCUUUGAGGGUUUCAAAAGCAGAUA